AUAAUAUUGAGAAUUAUGUCCAGCUCUCUCUCUCUCUUUUCUCUUCAAGAUUAAAACAACAAUUUUCAGUUGUUCUGAGGUUCUUGAAGAAACCCUCAUAUCUGCAAACCAAGUGUGAACGGAAGCUGAAGUUCUAGAAGAAGUCAAGUUACAAGGAGAAGUUGCAGAAAUUGAGGUAAGGUGACUGCCCCAUUUUUUUUGUCUUCCUUGUGUAUGAGUUUGAGUGAGGAAUUAGGGGUGUGCUAUAAUGAAGAACUCAAGGGGGUGGUGAAUAUAAUAAUUGGUUGUAUGAUGAAGAAUAUUUGGGGCUGUUCUAUGUGUAUUAUUGUUGGUGCAACUUGUUUGAUCUUGGGGAAAGGAUAUAUACUGUAUGUGUUGGACAUAGAAUAAAGGUGUGGUGAUACACAUUAUGUUAAGGGCUGGAUGGGUUCAUUAUCUGUUAAAGUUAGAUAAUAUUUCACGAGGAUGACGGUGUGAUAGCUGCAUAUUUUAGUCUACCAUAACUUAAAUUGUGGAUUAAAACCGAAAAGGGGAGGCUGAAUGAGAUAGUUAUAUCGGUCAGAGGAUAAGGUAUGCAACCUUUGGCAUGAAAUAUGAUACUUGCAAAUAAUUCCAAUGAAGUGAAUCUCAUAAGUUCUAUUCCUAGAAAAGGAAACAUAGUGGCAGCGUACUAUCUCCAAAAAGCUAUCAAUAUUCCCCCCUCUCCGUAGUGCAGAGAACUACUUCAUGAUAUGUUCACUAUUUUAUACUUGUGUAAUUAUCCCCACAUAUGCUGGUAUAGAAAUGGUAUUUGCAAAAGCAUGUCUGGUGAAUCCUCCUCUUUGUUGUUUGAAGUCAAUUGUGUAAUUAAUCUCUUAAAUAACGUGUUGAUGUUAGAUAGAUCCUUAUGUAAUUGCUAUUGCCUUGAAGUAUUAUUUUCAUGUCUUCUAUUACUGGUCCGUACUUCCACAUCUUCAAAAUGAUUAUGACCUUCAAAGUAACAUCUCAAAAGAGUUGCGAUUAUCCAAAGAACAAUCCCAUAAGUGAAGAAAUCUAUAUAAUUACGGGUGGCAGCCCUGGGGAGAAAGCUUAGCAUGGGACAAUCCCAACUGGUACAUAAGGGUGGCAGCUCAGGGGCGAAAGCCUAGCAUGGGCUGAUCCCUAUUAGUAUACAAGGGUGGCAGCUCAAGGGUUAAAGCCUAGAAUUGGCCGAUCCCAAAUUGUGUAAUUAUGAGGACCGCAUCCCAGGGAUUAAUAUGCCUAUUAUGGGUCAUCCUCUUCUACCACAUAUCAGCUGGUCACUUGUAUCACAUGCCUUACAAAGAUUAUAACGUAAACAAAAGUAAAGAAAACAACGUAACUUACAUUAUCUCACAAGAGUAAGCAAAGGUGGUCUUCUCAUCUGAUAUAUGCACUCAUAUGUUGAUACUUGAUUUCAUUUGAGCCCUCGUACUACAUAUUCUAUAUUUCCUAACAUAUUCAAUCUAUUUAUUUCGUAAUGACGUGCCUCGCUGGGGACGCUACAUUUAACAUUGCAAGCGCAGAUACUCCGGUUAGUAGACCUCCAUAAUAGGAGCAUACGACCCACAGAUACUUUUGCUGAGCUCCAGGUUUAUUCGGAGCUCUAAUGAGUCCUUGGUUAUUUUAUUUUGGUAUUGUAUCGUAGUUAAGGGUAAGGGAGGGUCUGUCGUAACCUACUCUAGUUUUCAAUCUUUUAGAGGCUUUGUAGACGUAUGUACAUGGUUCAGUUGUGUUUAUAAGUUCAUAACUCUUUUGGGAUUGUUCUUUGGAUAAUCGCAACUCUUUUGAGAUGUUACUUUGAAGGUCAUAAUCAUGUUGGAGAUAUGGAAGUAUGGACCAGUAAUAGAAGACAUGAAAAUAAUACUUCAAGGCAAUAGCAAUUACAUAAGGAUCUAUCUAACAUCAACACAUUACUUCAAGAGCUUAAUGACACAAUUGACUUCAAACAACAAAGAGGAGGAUUCACCAAACUUGCUUUUACAAAUACCAUUUCUAUACCAGCACAUGGGAGGAUAGAUACACAAGUAUAAUAAUGUGAACAUAUAAUGAAGUAAUUCUUUGCACUACGGAGAGGGAAAAACUUUUGGAAAGUAUUUGGAUAUAGUACACUGCCACUAUGUUUACUUUUCCAGGAAUAGAACUCAUGAGAUGAACUUCAUUGGUAUUAAUCGCAACUAUCAGAUUUCAUGCCUAAGGGAUAUAGAAUCGAAUAACCUUACAUA